UACGUAGGUGGCGAGCGUUGUCCGGAUUUACUGGGCGUAAAGGGAGCGUAGGCGGACUUUUAAGUGAGAUGUGAAAUACUCGGGCUCAACUUGAGUGCUGCAUUUCAAACUGGAAGUCUAGAGUGCAGGAGAGGAGAGUGGAAUUCCAUGUGUAGCGGUGAAAUGCGUAGAUAUAUGGAGGAACACCGGUGGCGAAAGCGGCUCUCUGGCCUGUAGCUGACACUGAGGCUCGAAAGCGUGGGGAGCAAACAGG
rnacentral:rRNA from 1 species